rnacentral:rRNA from 1 species
AUUGAACGCUGGCGGCAUGCCUUACACAUGCAAGUCGAACGGUAACAGGCCCUUCGGGUGCUGACGAGUGGCGGACGGGUGAGUAAUGCUUAGGAAUCUGCCUAGUAGUGGGGGAUAACCCGGGGAAACUCGGGCUAAUACCGCAUACGCCCUACGGGGGAAAGGCGGGGGACGUUUCGGUCCGUCGCGCUAUUAGAUGAGCCU